ensembl:lncRNA RAB33B-AS1 RAB33B antisense RNA 1
AAGAAAUAAAGGGCAAAGACUUUAAGCCACUUGUCUGAAGUUGCACUGUUAGUGAAAUUUAAUAAUAGUAGCAAACAUUUGUUGAGCCGUUUUGCUAAGUACUUCAAAUGGAUUAUAUCAUUUUAUUGUCACAGGAGCCUAUGAGGUUGGUCCUAUUUUUACUCUCACUUAUCCCUACUUACCAGAUGAGGAUCCUGAGGCUCAGAAAAACUCUUGACAAAAUUCUCAGGGAAAACUCUUCAGCUCUGGAUGUCUCCCUUUUUGUGGAUCAAACACAAAGGGCAUCAUUCUAAAAUAUAUACAGAACCAUAAAAGCCCCAAAUAGCCAAAGCAACCCUGAGCAAAAAGAACAAGGCUGGAAGCAUCACACUACCAGACUUCAAAAUUUACUACAAAGCUCUAAUACCUAAAAUAACAUGGUACUGGCAUUAAA